GACGGGUGAGUAACACGUGGGUAACCUGCCUGUUUGACUGGGAUAACUCCUGGAAACCGGGGCUAAUACCGGAUGGUUGUUUGAACCGCAAGGUUCAAACUUUGAGGUGGCUUCUGCUACCACUUACGAAUGGACCCGCGGCGCAUUACCUAGUUGGUGAGGUAACGGCUCACCAAGGCAACAAUCCGUACCCAACCUGAAAGGGUGAUCGGCCACUCUGGGACUGAAACACGGCCCAAACUCCUACGGGAGGCAGCAUUAGGGAAUCUUCCGCAAUGGACAAAAGUCUGACGGAGCAACGCCCCGUGAGUGAUGAAGGUUUUCGGAUCGUAAAGCUCUUUUGUUAGGGAAAAACAAGUGCCGUUCAAAUAGGGCGGCACCUUGACGGUACCUAACCAAAAGGCCACGGCUAACUACGUGCCAGCAGCCGCGGUAAUACGUAGGUGGCAAGCGUUGUCCGGAAUUAUUGGGCGUAAAGGGCUCGCAGGCGGUUUCUUAAGUCUGAUGUGAAAGCCCCCGGCUCA
rnacentral:rRNA from 1 species